rnacentral:rRNA from 1 species
GACGAACGCUGGCGGCGUGCCUAAUACAUGCAAGUUGAGCGAUUAAGAUUGGUUCUUGCACCAAUUUGAAGAGCAGCGAAUGGGUGAUUACCACGUGGGUAAUCUGCCUUUGAGCGUGGGAUCACAUUUGGAAACGUAUGCUCAUACCCCAUAACAACUUUAAACAUAAGUUUUAAGUUUCAAAGCUGUAUUUGCUUCACUCAAGUCUGAUUCCCCGUUUUAUUAGCUAGUUGGUUAGGUAAAGGCUCACCAAGGCGAUGAUACAUAGCCGACCUGGUAAGGUGAUCGGCCAAAACGGGACUGAGACAAGGCCCAAAAUCCUAAGGGAAGGAGCAAGAGGGAAAUAUCGGAAAUGGACGAAAGGCUGGACGAGGAACGCCGCGGGAGGGAAGAAGGGUUUCGGAUCGGAAAACUAUGUUGGUAGGGAAGAAAGGGGGGGAGAGUGGAAAGCUCAUGAAGUGACGGUAACUACACAGAAAGGAACGGCUAACUACGUG